AUUGAACGCUGGCGGCAGGCCUAACACAUGCAAGUCGAAUGGUAACAGGAAACAGCUUGCUGUUUCGCUGACGAGUGGCGGACGGGUGAGUAAUGUCUGGGAAACUGCCUGAUGGAGGGGGAUAACUACUGGAAACGGUAGCUAAUACCGCAUAACGUCGCAAGACCAAAGAGGGGGACCUUCGGGCCUUUUGCCAUCAGAUGUGCCCAGAUGGGAUUAGCUAGUAGGUGGGGUAACGGCUCACCUAGGCGACGAUCCCUAGCUGGUCUGAGAGGAUGACCAGCCACACUGGAACUGAGACACGGUCCAGACUCCUACGGGAGGCAGCAGUGGGGAAUAUUGCACAAUGGGCGCAAGCCUGAUGCAUCCAUGCCGCGUGUAUGAAGAAGGCCUUCGGGUUGUAAAGUACUUUCAGCGGGGAGGAAGGGAGUAAAGUUAAUACCUGUGCUCAUUGACGUUACCCGCAGAAGAAGCACCGGCUAACUCCGUG
rnacentral:rRNA from 1 species